rnacentral:misc_RNA from 1 species
UUGUGGAGAAGGACGCCGAAGGUGGGGCUGAUGACUGGGGUGAAGUCGUAACAAGGUAGCCGUACCGGAAGGUGCGGCUGGAUCACCUCCUAACAGGGAGACAACUAAAUGAUUGUGAUGUCUAAGUGAUUUAAUCUUAGGCCGCAAUCCUGUCACCUCAAGGUCGAUCGGUACCUCAGAUUUUUGAAUUAAUUUUAUAAUUAAUCUUUAAUUUCAGUUCCUAAACUUGUCUAGGUCACACCCAACAAGGGUUUUCUCCUGGGCCAUUAGCUCAGGUGGUUAGAGCGCACCCCUGAUAAGGGUGAGGUCCCUGGUUCAAGUCCAGGAUGGCCCAUUCGUUGUUGGGGGUAUAGCUCAGUUGGUAGAGCGCCUGCUUUGCAAGCAGGAUGUCAGCGGUUCGAGUCCGCUUACCUCCACUGAAACUACCCUGGUAACUAAUUCCGGAGGAAAUUUGUAGUUGUGACCUAAUAAUUGUCUAUUUGAAAAGAACCUAGCUUCUUAUCAUCUUAUAUAGUUGAUAACAUGCUGGGCUCACAUGGAUUUAUAUCCAUGAGAAUUCAGUAGAACCUUGAAAACUGCAUAGAUUAGAAAGAAUAAAGCAUCUCAUGGAUGCAUAAUUCUGGUUCAAUAAUUUAGUCAAAAAUUAAAUUAUUGUUUUACAGAAUUCAUGUUUAAUUCUUGAGUAAUAGCCGAGCACAAUUGAUUUGUGUUUGUAUUAAGGUCAAGCUACAA